UAUUCUCAUCUGGGGGCUUGGCAAUGGGAUGCCGACGUGGUCAUCGUUUGUCGCUUGUUUAGCCUCUCCUGAGGAAGUUACUGGAAAUCGGUGUCUGAAGGUAGAGGUCACCACGGUCUUAACUGUCAGAGCAGUCCUCCGCGGAGACAGGCCUACAUUGGAAACUGCCACCUCACAGCCCUGAGUGGCCUGUGAGGGACAGCACCACAGACACUGACCCAGGGAAAACCUCGUCCAGGGCUCAGCUUUCCACACUCGCUCCCCCCCAGGAGACGACUUCCUGCAUUUCCUAAGGAAAAACAAUGACCUCGCGUCUGCAGAGGACUUCACUCUUUGCAGCUCACUGUUGACAGCUCAUUUAGUCUUGCAACCACUUGAAGUAGUUUAUGCUUCUUACACAAUGCAUUCCAUUAUUUUUGCUGAAGUUGCAACUGACAAGUACAGUUCUGACAUGAAUGGUGAUAUUUUAAGUGUAUUCGUGAAACAAAAAUGAAACAAAAAUUAUGUCAGAACUUGAUUGGUUUACCAAUGAUGCGAACAACUUCUUUGCUGAAUCAGGACCGUGCCCCCGUAGAAAACAUUCUGGAGAGAGACUGCCCUUAUGAUUCCUCCACCAACUUUGACACUGUGAAGAGCAACUCUGAUGUGGCUACUGGAACAGAGGCCAUAGUUGUUGCCAAACCUUUAUUUAGACAGACCAAGAAUUAAGAAAAGCAAAUGUGACAAAUUUUAACGGGCCCAAGUGAAUGUGAAAACUAAAACCAGAUCCAUGAA